CUACGGGCGGCAGCAGUUAGGGAUAUUCGGCAAUGGGGGAAACCCUGACCGAGCAAUGCCGCGUGAAUGAAGAAGUAUUUCGAUAUGUAAAGUUCUGUUGUUAAGGAAGAAAGGUACGAAUAGGAAAUGAUUCGUAAUUGACGGUACUUAACCAGAAAGCCCCUGCUAACUACGUGCCAGCAGCAGCGGUAAUACGUAGGGGGCGAGCGUUAUCCGGAAUUAUUGGGCGUAAAGGGUGCGUAGGCGGCCUGUCAAGUCCGAGGUGAAAGCCCACGGCUUAACCGUGGAGGGUGCUCGGAAACUGAUAGGCUUGAAUCCAGAAGAGGCAAGUGGAAUUCUAUGUGGAGCGGUGGAAUGCGUAGAUAUAUGGAGGAACACCAGUGGCGAAGGCGGCUUGCUGGGCUGGUAUUGACGCUGAUGCACGAAAGCGUGGGGAGCAAACAGGAUUAGAUACCCCUGUAGUC
rnacentral:rRNA from 1 species